ACGAACGCUGGCGGCGUGCCUAAUACAUGCCAGUUGAGCGCUGAAGGUUGGUACUUGUACCAACUGGAUGAGCAGCGAACGGGUGAGUAACGCGUGGGGAAUCUGCCUUUGAGCGGGGGACAACAUUUGGAAACGAAUGCUAAUACCGCAUAAAAACUUUAAACACAAGUUUUAAGUUUGAAAGAUGCAAUUGCAUCACUCAAAGAUGAUCCCGCGUUGUAUUAGCUAGUUGGUGAGGUAAAGGCUCACCAAGGCGAUGAUACAUAGCCGACCUGAGAGGGUGAUCGGCCACAUUGGGACUGAGACACGGCCCAAACUCCUACGGGAGGCAGCAGUAGGGAAUCUUCGGCAAUGGACGAAAGUCUGACCGAGCAACGCCGCGUGAGUGAAGAAGGUUUUCGGAUCGUAAAACUCUGUUGGUAGAGAAGAACGUUGGUGAGAGUGGAAAGCUCAUCAAGUGACGGUAACUACCCAGGAAGGGACGGCUAACUACGUG
rnacentral:rRNA from 1 species